CAAUAGCGUAUAUUAAAGUUGUUGCAGUUAAAAAGCUCGUAGUUGGAUUUGUGGCGUACGGUGUGUUCCGGGCACUUGUUGUCUGAGUAACCUGCUGUUGCCAUCCUUGGGUGGAACCUGUGUGGCAUUAGGUUGUCGUGCAGGGGAUGCCCAUCAUUUACUGUGAAAAAAUUAGAGUGUUAAAAGCAGGCUUAUGCCGUUGAAUAUAUUAGCAUGGAAUAAUGAGAUAGGACUUUUUUGCUAUUUUGUUGGUUUGCGCAAAGAGGUAAUGAUUAAUAGGGACAGUUGGGGGUAUUCGUAUUCCAUUGUCAGAGGUGAAAUUCUUGGAUUUUUGGAAGACGAACUACUGCGAAAGCAUUUACCAAGGAUGUUUUCAUUAA
rnacentral:rRNA from 1 species